rnacentral:rRNA from 1 species
UACGUAGGGUGCAAGCGUUAAUCGGAAUUACUGGGCGUAAAGCGUGCGCAGGCGGUUUUGUAAGUCUGUCGUGAAAUCCCCGGGCUCAACCUGGGAAUUGCGAUGGAGACUGCAAGGCUAGAAUUUGGCAGAGGGGGGUAGAAUUCCACGUGUAGCAGUGAAAUGCGUAGAGAUGUGGAGGAACACCGAUGGCGAAGGCAGCCCCCUGGGUCAAGAUUGACGCUCAUGCACGAAAGCGUGGGGAGCAAACAGG